UUUCUCUGGGUCUUUGUUGAAACUGUGAAUGAACACAACUGCGUUUCGUGCCUGUGUUUUAUGGUUCUUGGGCUUAAAAUCAUUCUGGUAACCGGGGCAGCAUUGGAGGAAGGGAAUUGGGAUUUCUUGAGACUAACCAUCCAUAUAGCUUCUAAUCCAUUGCGUAGCCUGCACAUUUGGGUUUUCAGUCUUGGAGAGUUGCUUGUUGGGGCGCCGCACUGAGAUAGCAAUCAAGAAACGCGAAGCCCGCAAGGCCCAAGCUACCACUACUCCUAGCGCGCCACCCACCCACAGGUGCCCCACCCACAGGUGCCCCACCUGUGGCAGAGGACUCUUCGUCUGGAUUGGCCUUAUCGGUCAUCUCUGGGUCCACCAACAGAAAACCUCAAGCUAACCAGCGAACUUGACCAUCUUCGAAAACGAAGGGCGAACAACAAUAUGUAUGCUUUGUUUUCCUUACUGCUUUGCACACACACGGCCUACGUUUAUGAAUUGUUUGGCAGUGUAAAUAUGACACGCCCCUAGAACUCCUGUCACAAUGUCAGUUCUGUUAUUCCUGGAAGACUGGGAAACCACAAGUCUGUAAUUAUCUGGACAUGGUACCUUUUCAUGUACAUGUGGUUAUAUGUUUUUCGGUUUGACGGAAUUUCAUAACAUUUUGGUAGAUCCAGACUUUUUCACGUUUGUUUUGACUAAAUAUUCAGGGUAGAAAACCUUAUUGUCUUUUUAUUGUCCUUUUGGAAAGAAUGGAAACUAAAGUUUGUUUUGGGUUUAUUUUUCAUGCAUAUCAUGUACAUGUAUAAUUACACUGUAAGCACAACUGAUGCAAGUUUCUUGUAAUUUCUUUAUAGUUUUAUCACAUAUCUUUAUCA